GUGACUCGAAGAAGCCUUCCAAAAAGCGUGUGAAAAGGGAGCCCUACUCUACUACCAAGGUGACUUCAGGGAGCACAUUCAAUGAGAAUACAAGAAGAUAUGCUGUGCACACCAACCAGUGUCGGAGACCUCAUGGCUCCCCGGUAAAGAAGAAGAGGUACCCACAAGAAGAUGACUUCCAUCAUACAGUCUUCAGCAACCUUGAAAGAUUGGACAAGCUUCAGCCCACUCUUGAAGCCUCUGAGGAGUCUCUAGUUCACAAGGACAGAGGAGAUGGAGAGAGGCCAGUCAACGCGAGGGUGGUGCAGGUGGCCCCUCUGAGGCGUGAAUCUA
rnacentral:lncRNA from 1 species